GAGAUGUUGGGUUAAGUCCCGCAACGAGCGCAACCCUCGUCCUUAGUUGCCAUCAUUAAGUUGGGCACUUUAAGGAAACUGCCGGUGAUAAGCCGGAGGAAGGUGGGGAUGACGUCAAGUCCUCAUGGCCCUUACAGGCUGGGCUACACACGUGCUACAAUGGCAUCUACAGUGGGCAGCUAUUCCGCAAGGAUGCGCUAAUCUCCAAAAGAUGUCUCAGUUCGGAUUGUCCUCUGCAACUCGAGGGCAUGAAGGCGGAAUCGCUAGUAAUCGCGGAUCAGCAUGCCGCGGUGAAUACGUUCCCGGGCCUUGUACACACCGCCCGUCACACCAUGGGAGUUGGAUUCACUCGAAGGCGUUGAGCUAACCCGCAAGGGAGGCAGGCGACCACAGUGGGUUUAGCGACUGGGGUGAAGUCGGAACAAGGUAGCCGUAGGGGAAC
rnacentral:rRNA from 1 species